rnacentral:rRNA from 1 species
UACGUAGGGGGCAAGCGUUAUCCGGAUUUACUGGGUGUAAAGGGAGCGUAGACGGAAUGGCAAGUCUGAUGUGAAAGGCGGGGGCUCAACCCCUGGACUGCAUUGGAAACUGCCAGUCUUGAGUACCGGAGGGGUAAGCGGAAUUCCUAGUGUAGCGGUGAAAUGCGUAGAUAUUAGGAGGAACACCAGUGGCGAAGGCGGCUUACUGGACGGUAACUGACGUUGAGGCUCGAAAGCGUGUGGAGCAAACAGG